CCUACGGGAGGCAGCAGUGGGGAAUAUUGCACAAUGGAGGGAAUUCUGAUCCAGCGACGCCGCGUGAGUGAAGAAGGAAUUCGUUAUGUAAAGCUCUAUCAGCAGGGAAGAAAGAGACGGUACGUGACAAAGAAGCUCCGGCUAAAUACGUGCCAGCAGCCGCGGUAAUACGUAUGGAGCAAGCGUUAUCCGGAUUUACUGGGGGUAAAGGGAGAGUAGGUGGCAGAGCAAGUCCGAAGGGAAAACCCAGAGCUCAACUAUGGGAAGGCUUUAGAAACUGCUCGGCUAGAGUGCAGGAGAGGCAAGUGGAAUGCGUGGUGUAGCGGUGAAAUGCGUAGAUAUUGGGAGGAACACCAGUGGCGAAGGCGGCUUGCUGGACUGUAACUGACGCUGAGGCUCGAAAGCGUGGGGAGCAAACAGGAUUAGAUACCCCUGUAGUC
rnacentral:rRNA from 1 species